CGUGAGUACACACUUUCCUAAAAACAAUAUUUCGUCCCUUAUAAGAGUGGAGGGGAUCACGAAAUCCGCUUUUGAGAUACAAAGAAGAACAACAACGAUGAUACUCACUCUUAGUAUUACCGUUUAAACAAGAAUAUGAUUAUCAAGAAUUGAUUUGUGNGUUAAGAGAAUGACUGAAUUUAUUCCAGUAGAGCACANGAUCC
rnacentral:lncRNA from 1 species